CAUGGCAGGCUGACUACCUGUUAUGCGAGGGCAGCAAGAAGCCAAGGCAUUAGUUUGGUCCACACCCCCAGUCCCCCCACCGAGGUGAACUGGCCCAGUGACGUCUCCAACAGGAACAGAGGUAAGGGAACCUCCAGACGUUCCCCAGGCCGAUGGCGUAGCCCACGCAUGACAACAGGAAGUCAAACUUGCCCUUCCAGGAGC